CUCUCCCAGGUCUAGAGAGGGGUACCCACGGUGGAGGGAGGUGGGAGGCCGAGACGGCCCCGGGGGUCGGCGGAGACCCAGCGGGAGCAGGGGGAAAUCGGAAGAGCUGGGGGCAUGGAGCGGGCGAGUUUGGAGCGGAAUGAGCCGGGAGCCCUACGUUGUGGAAGGAAGACAACAGUAUAGGACCAUCAGCAGGACCGGACAGAGAGGGGCACGUAAGCAGUAAUUACUGGAUGGCAUAGUAAUUCUACUAAAAAUUAAAAUGCCACUUAUUGGAAUGGUGUGUGAACACUCUAAAGCAACCCGGGAAGAAGACAGCAGUCAAGAAGACCAAGGAAGGAAAUGGAGGAGGGAUGACCCCACCAUUACAGGCAGGGAAGGACUGACCAAAGAGACAGAAAUGUAGUCUAGGAAAUGUGUCAUCUUAGAAAGGAACGGGAAGGGGCUGGAGAGGUGGCUCAGAAGUAAAGAGCAGUGGAUGCUCUUUCAGGGGACCUGAGUUGGCCUCCUAAUGUCUUCAGGUACCUCCUAACUGCAUGUAACUCCAGCUCCGGGAGAUUCUGGAUUCUUCUGGUCUCCACGGCACUGCGUUCACGCGCACGCGCGCGCGCACACACACACACACACACACACACACACAAAUUAAUCUUAGAAAAGCAUAGGAAGCCUGAUUUUUUGUUUGUUUGUUUGUUUUGGGGUUUUUUUUUUGUUUGUUUUGUUUUGUUUUUGAGACAGGGUUUCUCUGUAUAGCCCUGGCUGUCCUGGAACUUGUAGACCAGGCUGGCCUUGAACUCAGAAAUCCGCCUGCCUCUGACUCCCGAGUGCUGAGAUUAAAGGUGUGCACCACCACACCCGACAAGGAAGCCUGUUUUAAGAAGUGAUUCCAUGGAGGAGUUCUGCGGCGGCUCAGGGCUUGACUAAACAGUGGACCUCAGGGUCCCAUUUCUCUCAGUAGACAAGAGAGGCUAAACCAGGCUGCAGGUGACAGGAAGAAUUGAAUAAACUGAAAGCAAAGGGCAGCCUUCUAAUUACGCUUCGUGGCUAUGUGGACAACCUGGAGAAGUCUGGAAACGUGAGUGGUGCUAAUCCCCUUUGUAAUGAAAGGCCCGGGUAAAAACAGAUGGGGCAAGUAGGUGUAAUGGGUAUUUCAGGAGCUUGAAUCUGAUGUCACAGCUUGUCUGGAUGGGACGUGCAUCUACUUGCAGAGCUAUGUUCCCAUCUAGUGUAAUUGUGGGUGUUUUAAUUCAGGCGUCACCUCUAUUUUGUCCUCUCUCCACAGCUUUCCUCCUCCAUUUUACUACUUGAGGGAGCAGUGGGUGGGAUACUAGGCAAGUAGCUGCAAUGGCUGGUGCUUUAUGGUUCCCUGGCAUCCCCUGAAUCUGUUAACAUCCCAACCUUCUUGACAGCCAGCCCCACCCCAUCACAUUCUUACUCCUUCCCUUUCCAAGAAAGAAGCCAGAAGCCCGAAGCCAGCAGUAGAGCUCUGACUGGCUUGUAUGCCUAGAAAGGAAGGGCUCUUCUUUCGCCUCACGGGCACAAAUGGGACCCACGAGCGCCGAUUUCAGACUAUUCUGAUCCCUUCAAAAAGAAAGUUAGGAGUCCAGGCUACUUCACUUUGGUGAUAGUAAUCAAACCCUAAUCACGGUGCAGCCACAAGUCACAGAGACCGAAAUAGCAGACUUAUGACAGACAAGGAUGGAGACAGCUAAGGAACUGGCUAUUAAUCACCAGUCCCUCUGCUCACAGCCCAUUGGACCCGAGGGUGAAGGAUGAGGAGGAUGGAAGAAAAUGGGAGUGGCGCUUGCUGCAAAGGGUCUCGAAGGGUCUCAGCACCUGCGAACUGGCUCCAAUCCAAACUCCACUAUUCAUGGUCAAGUUCACAUAGGGCUUGGGGUUCUAACAAGAUGUGACUAAACUUACGUUUUCUAUCUUAUUGAUUGUUGUUGAUGCACGUCUGGUGGUACAUGCUUGAAGAACACAGACACCCUGAGAAGAAAGACAUAGCUCCCCAGAUUCCAGCACGCACUUCUCUGUGAGCUACCACUGUAGCUGAAGAUACAGGGCUCAGGAGGAACACUUGGCCUUCGCUCUGAACUUCAGGCCCACGUAACCAUCAGCCGACAUGACACUGCAAAGGCACCUUAGCUCUGCUGUCCCAGAUGGCCAAGCCAACCUUAUUCCAGAAGCUACUUCUCCUGAUGUAAGAACCAGACACAAAGGACAACCUCUGCCUCACCCUCCUUCACACAACACUGAGUCUGUCAUCUUUGAAGCAUUUCUCAAGCCAUGUUUAUUCCCCUGGCCUACGUGGAACACAGCCAGGGUACGGAACACAACCUCAGCACCGGUCUGCUUUCCUCUCCCCAUUUCUGGUCUUUCUCAGAUGCCCAGAGCUCCUCUGUCCCAAUGACUGCUUAUCAAAGAUCUCACUGUGUCCCCACCCAAGGGGUCUUUGGCCACCCUGUGAAGUCCUAGUGGCCUGGAGUUUGCCCCCUUUCCCAGACACCUUAGGGUUCCUGCUGCAGCUCCAGAACUGGGGGAGCAGGGUUGGGGGUGAGUGUGUGUGUGUGUGUGUGUGUGUGUGUGUGUGUGUGUGUUGACUCACCCUGCAGUAUUCUCUCCAUCUGCACAGGUCCCCAGUCUCUGAGACUGAAUCACCCCUCUUUCACUAUGCCUCUGCACAGCUGCCCUUGUGCUCCCUCUCCUUGCCCCGCCUCUUUUUAAGACAGUAUUAUGCAGCCCUGGCUGUCCUGGAACUUAUGUAAACCAGCCUGGCCUUGAACUUGCAGAGAUCCACCUGCCUUUGCCUCUGCCCCUGCCCCUGCCCCUGCCCCUGCCCCUGCCCCUGCCCCUGCCUUUCUGCCUCUGCCUCUGCCUCUCUGCCUUUCUGCCUCUGCCUCUCUGCCUCUGCCUCUCUGCCUCUGCCUCUCAAGUGUCAGGGAUUAAUGCCUGCCACCUCCCCAGUCCCACCCCUCUCCAUCUACCAUGUGGGUUCCACGGGGCAAACCCAAGUCAUCAGGCUUGUUGGCCAGUGCCUUUAUCCACUGAGCCAAGCCGCUUGGUGUGUCUUUGAUGGUGAUUAUUUACAGGAGCUAUUCAGCAAGGUUAAAUGCUGGCAACCCAAUGAGGGGGUCUCUUGAUCCAAAACUGAGAAGUUGAGGCACUAUUUCAGAAUGACCAAAGACAGUAGAAGAAUCUAGAUAUGUCGAUGAUGAGAACAAUGAUAACUCCAAAAGCUGAGGGAAAUUAACUCAAAAUCUUCCAGCUUCCUUUUCCUUACCUAGUUUGGCGGACUCCAACUCUUGGGAUAGCUUUUUUUCUGGCCCCAAACUCACCUGAUUCGUCUGUCCACUGCCACACUGAAGAAUGAACAGCUGUCUCAGAGAGCUUGGCUCCAGAGCUCUGCAAAAAGAGGACACCUUGCCUUGAGCUGUGUUUCCAGAAUGUAUUGCAGCCCCCAGAGUCAUGUACUGUGACCAGGUGAGGACAUGCAUCUUCUGUUCUCCUGCACCCAGGGCCCCAGCAACCAAGGAUCUGGGGACAUGGCGGGUGUUUGGCAGGUUCGCACUCUGAAAAUAUUUGAUGAGACUCAGUAUAUGCUAAAUAAACAC
rnacentral:lncRNA from 1 species